UCGAAACGAACAUUUUUCCCUCGUCAUGCCAAAUAUUUGCAUGACGAUUUUCAAGCUACCUCGAGCCGCUGGAAGCGUGUCAAAUUAUUGGCGAGUUCAAAACGUGGUUAUGAAAUAUUCAGUUCCGAAGCGAUGUUUGAUCGGUGUCGAAUUAAAGGAGCAACCGAGAAACUGACACCCUCGACCAACCGGGGGGAAUAAAAAUUGGAUCGGGAUGUUCGAGCGUCGUGUAGAGAAAGAGUG